GCAGAUUUUAGUCAGCAGCUACCAGGGUUGAAGUCAAAUGGCCAAAACGCUUCGACCAGUUUCUUCGGCCUUCCCCGUCACAGCGUGGGCGUGGUCGGGGUUUUGCCUCCAGGAUUCCAGCUAAGACAGCGUCACGAGUCCCUCCGCGUUCAGCCUGUGGACCUAGUUCAUCGCAGCCGCAAGAGGGGCCUUCACAGCAACCCCGAAAAGGCUUCCCACGGACGACGACAAAGCGAGAGAACUUCUCGGCAGCCAGGCCGUAAAGAGGGCGCAACAGGCGAUGUGUAGAACACGAAGAGGCUCCGGGCGAUGGGUAGAACACGAAGACGCUCCUGGUCCUGCUCCAGGGCAUCUUCUACAUAGUGAUUCUUUUGGGUACCACCUUUAGACCAAUAAAUGCACUGUUUUGGGAAAA
rnacentral:misc_RNA from 1 species